rnacentral:rRNA from 1 species
CGUUAGCGGCGACGGGUGAGUAACACUGGGUAACCUACCUAUAAGACUGGGACAACUUCGGGAAACCGGAGCUAAUACCGGAUAAGAUAUCGAACCGCAUGGUUCGAUAGUGAAAGANGGUUUUGCUAUCACUUAUAGAUGGACCCGCGCCGUAUUAGCUAGUUGGUGAGGUAACGGCUCACCAAGGCAACGAUACGUAGCCGACCUGAGAGGGUGAUCGGCCACACUGGAACUGAGACACGGUCCAGACUCCUACGGGAGGCAGCAGUA